rnacentral:rRNA from 1 species
UGAGUAGGCGGUUAUAUAUGUCAGGUGUAAAAGGCUAUGGCUUAACCAUGGUUAGCACUUGAAACUGUAUGACUUGAGUGCAGGAGAGGUAAGCGGAAUUCCUAGUGUAGCGGUGAAAUGCGUAGAUAUUAGGAGGAACACCAGUGGCGAAGGCGGCUUACUGGACUGUAACUGACGCUGAGUCACGAAAGCGUGGGUAGCAAACA